rnacentral:rRNA from 1 species
GACGAACGCUGGCGGCGCGCCUAACACAUGCAAGUCGAACGAGCGAGAGAGAGCUUGCUUUCUCGAGCGAGUGGCGAACGGAUGAGUAACGCGUGAGGAACCUGCCUCAAAGAGGGGGACAACAGUUGGAAACGACUGCUAAUACCGCAUAAGCCCACGGCUCGGCAUCGAGCAGGGGGAAAAGGAGCAAUCCGCUUUGAGAUGGCCUCGCGUCCGAUUAGCUAGUUGGUGGGGUAACGGCCCACCAAGGCGACGAUCGGUAGCCGGACUGAGAGGUUGAACGGCCACAUUGGGACUGCGACACGGCCCGGACUCCUACGGGAGGCAGCAGUGGGGAAUAUUGCACAAUGGGGGAAACCCUGAUGCAGCGACGCCGCGUGGAGGAAGAAGGUCUUCGGAUUGUAAACUCCUGUUGUUGGGGAAGAUAAUGACGGUACCCAACAAGGAAGUGACGGCUAACUACGUG